rnacentral:sRNA from 1 species
UCACGUUAGAUACUGAGGAUCUCCAGC